ACCACUACGGGAGGUCAUACCAAGGAUCUAUGGAAGUGGGGGCUCGUCCCCGGUCAAUAUUGGAUCAAACAAUAGGGGGCCGUAGCACUGACCUCUUUUUUUUAUUGAUUCAAUACAAUAGGGGAAAAGAUCGUACAGUUCCCUACCGAGACAAACUCUCAACGGAUCCUCCGCGCGCUGGGAAUACCUCUUCCGUGCGUCUUUCUCGUGGAGGGAACAGAACAACAGGGAAAGUCCCGACCCAGGGCGAGCUUUAUUUAUUUAAGAGAGAAUGGGGAGUGAAUCGAAUUCCGUUUCCGUUCUUUGGGGGCUUUCGGGCCCCUCUCGAUCUUUUUCGUAAUUGAGAAGGGGGAAGGAGUCUAAAUCAACGGACAUUAAUGAACCAUCAUUGAUGGACGUUGCACAUGACACGAUCAAUUCGACUCAAGGUCCGGCGCUAAUAGAAGUUGCUUACUUUCCUAGUAGCGAAGGAGAGGGCAGGGCUUUUUUCGUAGUAAUAGUGGGCCGGUCUCAUGAGAUCUAUGCCGGCCGUCGGAAUCAAACGAAGGUCGAAGGACCAUUCGAUUCAUUAAGGGGCAUAGCGGCGCCCUCGCCCGGCGCCAUUUCCGGACCUAGCAGCAGACGGGCGGGCCGUGCCUGAAUUCAGACCGGACCAGACUCUUCUUUGUUUGAGCUGCUCCCAGGCACGCAGGCCGAAGAUCUCACUUGUCCUGGACAAGUACGUAGAGAUCUUCGUGGGACCGUGGAGGGAGUCUCAAUCGAUCUUUUCUAGGAUUCCUUAUCACGCCACACAUGGAGAUCUUUCCAUUGAUAGAUCAGAGGGUCCUCCCUUGAACAAAUUCUUAAAGGUUAGGUUACUACCUGCUUCUACGGAAGAGGUUUACUUUGUACCGCCCGGAGGUCAUAUAGAUCGGAAUCCGGAGCGAUAAGAACGAAAGGGUUGGUGUGGCCACAGCUACAACUACUGGCGCUUCAAAAGGCUUAGAUUCUAAGGGCGCUACUGAAAGCCUUUUUUUAGGUCCUGUAAUAGGGAGGUGUAAGCCUCGAAAGCCUUUGGUACUUCGGUAGGGCGAGCAGCCCUUAAACCAAAAAAAAGGGAGUCUCUGACUUCCUUCCCCUAUUUUUUUUAUGCAUUUCAUUCUCUAUUUGGCCCGCUUCAAACAAAAUGAGAAAAAAGGGUCCGGUCAAUAGCAUAGCUCUUUCUUUCCCCGGUCUCCUUUCGAAGGAGAGGCCUUCACAUUCCUAAUCCGGUAGGGUCGGACGGCUUUCUUUGCCCCAGCUUGGCGAAUCGCAUCCCCGCACAACGACAUUCUUUGUUUGUGCGCCCCUUACCGUUCUCGCUCAGUCUUUCAACGGCUGGGAAGGCAGUCGUAGAAACGAAGCCUAUCGCCACGCCGACCAUCAAAUACGAGACUGGGCCCCUUCUCAAAGAUUUGAUGGAAUGGCCCACCCCACCCAAGAGCGCUUAUGUCAUAGGGGAACUCAUGGCUGGAAACAAUCCUUAUGGUUUGUUUUGAUAUCCGGUAGGAAUAAAAAAAAAAGUCCAGGUUGGUUGGUGAGCCUAGUGAUAGGAGACUAUCUAGCUUGGUUCGGAGAGCACUUGUUGGGUGAAAUAUUUUUUGGUUGCUAAAUGUUACGGCCUAAAUGCUGAACUAUUGACCCUACUUGUUCGGAUGGGUGUUCACCCCAAAGUGUUCCCGGACCGCAUGCAUACAUCCGUAAGUAACUUAGUGCAACAUGGAAAAUUUCAUUGAGAGGAAUCAGCAAAGAAAAGAAAAACGGGUCAACAACACCAACAUGUGUAUUUGAGAGAUUGUCCUCUUGGGCGGCCGAGAGUGUUGUGUUAUUGUUAUGAGUGUUGUGUUAUUGUUAUGUAAGACCAAGGAGGAUCCUAUCCUAAAGGAGAAGGAGGAGGAGUAGGAGCUAGCCUUAGGGGCGGAAUCGAAUGAUUACGAGAUAAACAAUGAGACAAAGGAGAGCACUUAGACAAUUCACUUUGAGUACAGGGAAGUCUGCUGGUAGGAAUUCCUCAGGGCGUAUUACGGUUUUUCACCGAGGGGGUGGAUCGAAGCGAUUGCAGCGAAGAAUUGAUCUGAAACGAAGCACUUCGUCUAUAGGCAUUGUAGAAAGGAUAGAAUAUGCGCCUAAUCGUUCUUCUCGAAUCGCUCCAGUACGAUGGACCGGGGGGGGGUCCGCCAGAGAAAAUGCAACACGAUAGAAGAGUUCGCUCCGCCGCGUAAGAUCCUCGAAUCAAAAUCAACCACGACUACCCUCUGCGGUCCAUUUUCGUUCUCUUCCCUGCCCGGGAAGGGGGAUCAAAGAAAGGUAGCUUGCUUCUCUCAUGGAUGGAUGGCGACUUAUGUAGUGGUCGGCCUUCCUACCAGAAUGCCUUCUUUGUCGAAGAGCCCCUUUUUUACUAGUAAGGACGCAGGAAGCAAAAAAACUUGCGCGAAGGACGUUUUCUUCUCUGCCCUCUCCUCUCAAAAGGCCAAAGGAGAGACUGCAUCCCUUUCCUUCGGUAGCUCUUUUGGUUUCCCAAGGAUAGCGGUAGCUGGGGCAAAGCCCGCUUUCUUUGCUCCGCGAAUGAGAGAGAAAGUCAGAGGAAAAAACACGUUCUCUCUUUGCGAGAUCCGAAAGUGGAGAACGCAUAGCAUUCUAUGGGUACAUAGGAUCAAACGUAAAGCAGCUCUCUCUUGGCAGAGUUUUAGGCGGCAAGAGACUUUAGGACUUGUUGGAGCUUCUGAGCGUAACGAAUCGAAGCCGAAGACGGAUCAAGGUAGCUUGCCUGCCAAGCCGAUAGGCGAAGGGCUGAAGGAUGGAACGCGCAAAGUAGAUCUCACACGGGAAAAGAGGUCAAAUGGCAACGCAAGGCCAUACGCCCGUUUGGCUCCUCGCGGAGUAUAGCUCACAUCCAAACAUCUAAUUGGGGAACGGGGCAACGCCCAUGAAGCUCCGGCGGAAAGGGAAGGCCUGCCAGGCCGUAUGCCCAUGGGUGCAGGAUCCUUCGAAAAAGCGCGGGCUGACUCGGAGACCUGGGACCCUGGCUUAGUAAUGAAUGAAGGGAAUCUCUUCGAGCUUUCUCCGCCAGCGGCUUAUGUAGUGGUCGGCCUUAUAAAGCUCUCUAAGCCUCGCUUCCCUCUCCCCUUCACUUAUUAAGUGGAAAAUAGUCGUCGGCAUUCUAUAAGCGACUUGACCGAGUCUACGAAGCUUUGCUUUUCUUGUAGUCGGCCCGUAAUGCCUCCCUUCAUUUGCUUGCCUCCUUUCAGCUCAGAAUGCCUAAUGCCUAUUAUUUAGUUCUAGAAGCUAACCGCCAUAAGCUCACCCUUCAGGUCUCACUUCCAGCGCAGGAGGCCAAGCAUUCUGCCAGACGUCCCGGCCUGGGAGCCCCGUUCUCCUUUGGUACUUCAGUAGAUCUUCUAAAAAAAAAGCGCUACUUCAGCCUUAACUACAACUACAUUACGCAAGCCCCGCCGAUACCUACCUA